rnacentral:sRNA from 1 species
GCGUGUUGGUGUUAAUGUGUUUUAGUUAGUGAAAUCAAAACACUUUUUCCCCCCAAGGUGUGCAUCUGUGUAGGAUAUAGUGUCCAGCUGUUUUGUUAUGUGUUAUCUGUAGCUAACAUUUAAAAAAAAAGUCUUUUGUUUAUUUGGGAUGGUUACUAAGUAACAAAGAUGUGAUGCAAAACCAGAACAAAAAUAAUUAGAAUAAUUUCACCAAAAGACAAUUAGUAUCAAAAAUUUAUUUUCCUUUUGGUAAUCGUGAAAAACAAACAAACAAGAUGUCAUGUUUGUUUGUUAUGGUUGGUUUAUUCACUCUCGCUUCUGCUGACAUUUUUUCUUGCACUAAACCAACUCCGGUGACACCAGCGCCCCCAAUGCCAUCGAUUUUUCAGACAGACUCUUACCAGGCCACAGUGGAGAUAAACAUUUUAGAUAAAAAUUAUUCCAUGGUGACACAGGAAUACCUGGACUACCAAAACAAUAUAGGGGCCAU